rnacentral:rRNA from 1 species
AGUGAACGCUGGCGGUAGGCCUAACACAUGCAAGUCGAACGGCAGCACAGUAAGAGCUUGCUCUUACGGGUGGCGAGUGGCGGACGGGUGAGGAAUACAUCGGAAUCUACUUUUUCGUGGGGGAUAACGUAGGGAAACUUACGCUAAUACCGCAUACGACCUACGGGGGAAAGCAGGGGAUCUUCGGACCUGGCGCGAAUGAAUGAGCCGAUGUCGGAUUAGCUAGUGGGCGGGGUAAAGACCCACCAAGGCGACGAUCCGUAGCCGGUCUGGGUGGCUGGUCGCCGGCACUGGAACUUAGACACCCACCUUGCUCCUACGGGACGGCGCAGUGUGCAAUGUUGGACAAUGGUCGCAAACCUUGUCCAACCGUACCGCGUGUGUUGAAGAAGCCUUCCGGUUGUAAAGCCCGUUUGUUGGUAAAAAAAAGCUGCCGGUUGAUACCCCGCUUUUCUGACGGUACCCAAUGAAUAAGCACCGGCUAACUUCGUG